AUACGAAAGGUGCAAGCGUUGUUCGGAUUUACUGGGCGUGAAGAGAGUGUAGGUUGUUUAUUAAGUCGGAUGGGAAAUCCCGGGGCUCAACCUCGGAACUGCAUUCGAUACUGGUAGACUAGAGUUCGGGAGGGGUAAGCGGAAUUCCGUGUGUAGCAGUGAAAUGCGUAGAUAUACGGAGGAACACCUGAGGCGAAGGCGGCUUACUGGACCGAUACUGACACUGAGACUCGAAAGCGUGGGUAGCAAACAGGAUUAGAUACCCCGGUAGUCC
rnacentral:rRNA from 1 species